rnacentral:misc_RNA from 1 species
UCCGUGACCUUCAGCCACUUG